CAGUAAAGUAGUGGUACAAAGAGCACUACUAUAAUGCCCACAUAGGAUUUGCCCAGCCUAUUCAGAGGCAGUGUACUUUUACCUUUAUGGGUUUACCACACACUUCCUGGUAGCUAGACCGUCCUUUGUUUUAUCUGAGGCUGAGUACAGGCUGAUUCUCUGGUUACUCCUCAGUUAUUGUUUUGCAACUCUUCAAAAUAAAUUCAGGACCUAGGUUUGUAUAUUUUCUCUCCAUUACAACACAAUUACCAGGUAAGCAGAGUUUGAUAAGAAAGCAGAGUGCUAAAAUGUGUCAGGAUUUUCAAUCUGCGAUCUUUCAUACACUACUUGUGGUCCUGCUUUAUGAUUUGUUUAUUCAUUGUUGAUUUGCCAGACUGUAGUUAUCUAAAUGUUUUUAUCCAGAAUUUCCUAUCCUUCUAUUGUGUAUUGACUCUGUGUGUCAACCAGAGAGCUGUGUCACGGAAUAUGGGAGAAACCAAACCUACUGUAUGAAUUAAUCAUGAACAGAUAAGGCUGGAACAAAGAGAUUCAAUUACACAAGCUUUCCUGACAAUUUAGCUGUCACUCUGAGUACAGCCACUCAAUAUACAGCGCUACUUGUCUAAGUUACAUCAAAGUUGAUGCAGUUGACAACUGAAGCCUAUAUACAAUAUGUAAUGAAGGCAAAUAUUCUCGACUUUCUGAUUAUAUCUUAAGACAAACUCUUAUAGUCAUAUAUGUUUUUGUUUAUUCAGUGGAGCAAGUUUGUUGCUUGAGGUGGAAAUUACAGACAUCAGCAUUUUGAAGAGUGACUGAAGCAGUGGGAACUGAAGGAAUCUCCUGGUCUCUGAAGAAAGAAUCAGUGUCAAAGAGCUCAUGACAAGUUACAGCAGUGGUGGAUAUUUUAACCCUGCCUACCAUGACAGCGAGACUCUGGAAAUUGAUAGAAGGACUUCCAGCAAAACCCACCACACUAAUCCCUAUGCUGGGGAAUACCCAGCCUGGUGGGGUAACAGAGCAGACACAGAUCACUCAUCUGUGGGUCAGAACAGCACUGAUGAUGCUGCAGGGAGAGUACCCUUGGGGGGCUGGCACGGGGACAGCUGGACAGGGACAGAAAGUAUCCCCAUGGUCCUCACCUCAACACACCCUGGGAGCCCUUCAUGGCAGCAUGACCUGAGUGAGUGGAAGAUCUACAGUGUGUGUGUGACAUUAGGUCUGUGUAUACAAGUCUUUAUUGCAUUAAAUCAAAUGAAAAAUGGAAACUCAAUAGUAUCUGGUGGUGACUAUUUGUUAGACCAUAUCAGGUGA
rnacentral:lncRNA from 1 species